rnacentral:rRNA from 1 species
UACGUAGGGUGCGAGCGUUAAUCGGAAUUACUGGGCGUAAAGGGUGCGCAGGCGGUCUCGUAAGCUGGGUGUGAAAGCCCCGGGCUUAACCUGGGAAUGGCAUUCAGGACUGCGAGGCUUUGAGUGCGGUAGGGGAGAUUGGAAUUCCUGGUGUAGCGGUGGAAUGCGCAGAUAUCAGGAGGAACACCGAUGGCGAAGGCAGAUCUCUGGGCCGUAACUGACGCUGAGGAGCGAAAGCGUGGGGAGCGAACAGG